UUCUGGUGGCCACCAGCACUCCUCGGCUUGUGGUGACAUCUCUCCAGUCUCUGCCUCUGUGGUUCCGUGGCUGCCUCCUCUUCUGUCAGUGCCAAAUCUCUCCCUGCCUCCAUCUUACAAGGACACCUGCUGCGCCAUUGCAUCAGAGUGCUUGCCGCUGACCUCCUCUCUCUUCUCUCGGUGGUCACCACCAUGAACAAGCAUCCCUGGUGUGUUUCCAGAACAGCGGGCGAUGCUGCCAGGGCCACAAACCCAGGGCCCCACAGACAGCAGAGGCCCGAGGGUGGCCAAUGAACGGGAACCGGUCCUUCUUCCGCACUCCCAAAGUGCGACGUACUCCAGCCAAGCCCAGGAAGGAUAAACUGCUUUGCACCCUGGACCCUAUUUCAUUCUCAUUCCAACCACUGGAAAUGGGUCUUAUUAUCAUUACUGUUGUUUCUAACAUCAGUCUCACUUUACAUAUAUGAAAAACUGAGGCCCAGAGAUAUUUUUUUUUUCUCAAAGUCUUACAGCCAAAAACUCAAGCCCAGGUUUUCUGACUCCAGAUCCCAUGUCUUCUCCGUGAUACCAAACUGCCUUGCCACCAGGGCACGAGACGCAGAAGGCUCCCUUAAGGUCACCAGAAUGUGUCACCACGGGGCAGACUCUAGUCCCCACUUUCUCCCAGACAGGGCCACCUUCUGGGGGUGCCCUCACAUAUUUUUGCAUAUGUGUACCCCCCCAAGA